rnacentral:tRNA from 1 species
GGGGUUGUGGCUCAAGUGGUAGAGCACUCGCCUAGCAUGUGUGAGGCACUGGGUUCGAUCCUCAGCACCACA